rnacentral:rRNA from 1 species
GACGAACCCACCAAACGUUAUUCGGUAUCACUGGGCUUAAAGGGUGCGUAGGCUGCCGGAUAAGUUGGGUGUGAGAGCCCUCGGCUCAACCGAGGAAUUGCGCCCAAAACUGUCUGGCUUGAGGGAGAUAGAGGUGAGCGGAACUUAAGGUGGAGCGGUGAAAUGCGUUGAUAUCCUAAGGAACACCCGUGGCGAAGGCGGCUCACUGGGUCUUUCCUGACGCUGAGGCACGAAAGCUAGGGGAGCGAACGGG